AUUUCAGUACCAAGGCUAGUACUGAAGGUCACCAGUUACUGACAGACAGAUAGCUAUACUAUAGGUCAGUUGGUAAGUACAGCAGCCCUGAAUUUUCAGUAGCAGGAUACAGAGACUUAAGGAGACACAGCCCAGUUUAUUUCAGCUUUCCAUAUUUAAGGCUGCACACAGGUACACAGAUGUCGGUUGGUAAGUAUGUUGUUCAGCAACCGUUAGAAGUAACAGGUGGUAGGGACUUAAGUUGCUUUGUACAUGUAAUUCAGUACCAAGGAUAGUACCAGGAGCACAAUGUAGUUCCAGUACAGUUCUUACUGUGGAUGCUCAUGAUUUUCCAAGCCUUACAUGUUGUUAUGGAACAUGAGGGUGGUGAUGUGUGGAGUCUUCAAUUUUAACAGGUUAGGUGUUGGAAUGAUAUGAAACACAUACAGGUGGUAGGGGAUAUCUCUUCUUCCCAGUACUUAAUACGAUUUCCAUGUGUGUAGGUGGGAGUCUUGGUAUUUUACCUCUAACUUCAUCUUACCACCUUCCUUAGCCGACACAAGCAAGCCCUUAUCAGGGAAAAAGCCGGCAGGGGUUCGAUGGAAGGAGACUGUCAAUGCUGUCAUGAUCUCACACGAGUCGGCAGAAUCGGAUAAGAAUGGUCCGAGGGACAGAUACCGCGUUCGGUAUACUCCAGAGGACAUGGCGGGGUAUGCGCUGUCAGAAGAAGAGUAUCACCAGCCGUGGGGUCUGGCCAGGCUCUCACCCGCACACAAAAAUGCCAUCCGUGCAAUAAG